AUUGAUGAAAUAACAACUGUCUCUAUUUUAUUUAAUGAAUUUAAAUUUUUAGUAAAAAUUCUGAAAUUUAAUUAUGGGACGAUAAGACCCUAUAGAAUUUUAUUUAAUAUAAUUAUUUAUUUAAAUUAUUUGUGAAUAUAUAAUUAAUUUAAAUUUGAUUGGGAGGAUUGGUAAAUAAAAAUAACUUUAUCUAAAAAUUAAUUUUGAUGAAAAGAUUUUUUUGACUUAUAAUUUAUGAUUAAAAGAAUAAAUUACCUUAGGGAUAACAGCGUAAUAUCUUUUGAUAGACCACAUUGAUAAAGAUGUUUGCGACCUCGAUGUUG
rnacentral:rRNA from 1 species